rnacentral:piRNA from 1 species
UGUGCUUCAAUGUUCCAGGUACCCUUGGU